GGCCACGGGGUAGUUGGUUAACGCGUCGGCUUACACUGCUGAAAUCGCAGGUUCGAAUCCUACCCA
rnacentral:tRNA from 1 species